UCAGUUUCUUGUUUCCUCUAUGUAAUCUCCUAGUGUUUCACAUGAAAGUUCACCUCUGAAGUACGUGUACUCAGUGAGGACACUUGUGUACAUACCCCCAGCCACCUGCUGUGAACUAAAUGAUUUCUGUAGGCUGUGAGGAGUGUGGAUUCAUGCUUUAGAUCUGCACUGCUCCAAUAGAAGCAGUCCUGUCCUCCCCUGAGCACCUGGCCGCGUCUUCCUGCCACCUCCCUUCUCAGUGCUGGCACUUGGGCUGGAAAGGAUUCACCUGCUGCCUGCCUAAAGACAUUUUACUUUCAGGGCUGUUUUUCAACUGGAUCGGCAGGCUGGUCUGGCACUGCACCAAACCCCGCGAUGACUGGUACCCACACAAGAGAGCUGAUGGCAAUGUAUGGCAGGAAGGAAGCAGACUCAGAUUGGUUUAAACUAAUCAUUAAAUCCUUUAAUGAAAGCUGCUAGUGUGUGUUAGCAUUGAUUCGCCUUCCGUGCAUGUCAUAGCCAUCCUAUCUUCAGUUGCCCACUGGGUUUCCUGUUCGGACUUGUUUACAAAGUCUCCUCUCCUACCUGCUGCACAGAACCUGCUCUAGCAGGGGGCUGGACUCGAUGAUCUCUAGAGGUCCCUUCCAGCCCCUACGAUUCUGUGCCUUUCUUGCUAAGGUCCAGCCAUGGUGUAGCUGACGUCGCACUGCAGAGCUGAUGGGAGACUGGUUCUCAUCAGGUUGGAUCUGUCUGGGGAUUUACACUGCACCCCCAUCCUACAGUUUCACUUCUUGCUUCUAAUUCAGAGGAAUUGCAAAGCCUGAAAUGAAAGUUGGCUGAAACUGUGACAGGUCCCUCGUUAUCGUUUUGCUUUUGGUAACAAAGAUGUACAAAAGUCAGUCUGUGAGCAGCGCUGAUACGAAGAGGCCAGGCUGGGUCAGGAAGCCUUUAACAAACACCAAACCAAGCUGCUGUCCCACGUCGGGGGCAGAGCUGGCAGCACAGCCUUACCCGUUGUUUUUGGUGACGUCUGUGAGCUUUUAGGGACAACUCCUGCCUGCACGGGACUUGGUGCUCCAGGCGCUGCGGAGAGAUCUUGCUGGUUAAACAGCCAUGGUGAAAGCAGAAGUGGAUUCUCACAUCUGUUUAUGGCAUCUGGAGUGAAUUGGACUCGGAGCAGGCUGAGCUGGCUUCUGAGGAAACUGGCCUCCAAGCAGAAAACCAGAAAUAGAGGUGCAUGGCAUGCUACGCUUGCUGCCCUAAAGGUGGACUAAUCCCAUAGGACUCAGAAACGUGGAGGAGAAUUGGGAAGCCUUGAUUAAAUCCUCGAUUAAAUUCUCUUUCAGCCACUACUGAAGUUUGCUCUCAUGGCUCUCUCAACUUGGGCUAGCAGCAGUGGGGUUGUUGUUUAGAUAAGCAAAUUGUUAAAAACUCCCCUCCCAGCCUUAUCUAUCUGGAAGGGUUGCUCUUGUGCCAGAGAUUGGCCACUGGAAGCAGGGCUGAAGGCUGAGGCUUUGCUGCCUGUGCAGGCAUCACCAACGUUCUGAACUCAUCUUCUGUGCUUUUCAGAUCCUG
ensembl:lncRNA